rnacentral:rRNA from 1 species
GAUCAUGGCUCAGGAUGAACGCUGGCGGCGUGCCUAACACAUGCAAGUCGAGCGAUCUCUUCGGAAGAGAGCGGCGGACGGGUGAGUAACGCGUGGGGUAACCCUGCCUCAUACACAUGGAUAACAUACCGAAAGGUAUGCUAAUACAAGAUGAUAUAAGAGAUUCGCAUGGAUUCUUAUCAAAGCUCCGGCGGUAUGAGAUGGACCCGCGUCUGAUUAGCUAGUUGGUAAGGUAAUGGCUUACCAAGGCGACGAUCAGUAGCCGACCUGAGAGGGUGAUCGGCCACAUUGGAACUGAGACACGGUCCAAACUCCUACGGGAGGCAGCAGUGGGGAAUAUUGCACAAUGGGCGAAAGCCUGAUGCAGCAACGCCGCGUGAGCGAUGAAGGCCUUCGGGUCGUAAAGCUCUGUCCUCAAGGAAGAUAAUGACGGUACUUGAGGAGGAAGCCCCGGCUAACUACGUG